ACUACGGGAGGCAGCAGUGAGGAAUAUUGGUCAAUGGACGCAAGUCUGAACCAGCCAUGCCGCGUGCAGGAAGACGGCUCUAUGAGUUGUAAACUGCUUUUGUACGAGGGUAAACGCAGAUACGCGUAUCUGUCUGAAAGUAUCGUACGAAUAAGGAUCGGCUAACUCCGUGCCAGCAGCGGCGGUAAUACGGAGGAUUCAAGCGUUAUCCGGAUUCAUUGGGUGUAAAGGGUGCGUAGGCGGUCGGAUAAGUUAGGGGUGAAAUCCCGAGGCUCAACUUCGGGAUUGCCUCUGAUACUGUUCGGCUAGAGAGUAGGUGCGGUAAGCGGAAGUUAUGGUGUAGCAGUGAAAUGCUUAGAGAUCAUACAGAACACCGAUUGCGAAGGCAGGUUACCAAGCUACUUCUGACGUUGAGGCACGAAGGCGAGGGGAGCAAACAGGAUUAGAUACCCGAGUAGUC
rnacentral:rRNA from 1 species